rnacentral:rRNA from 1 species
GACGAACGCUGGCGGCGUGCUUAACACAUGCAAGUCGAACGGUAAGGCCCUUCGGGGUACACGAGUGGCGAACGGGUGAGUAACACGUGGGUGAUCUGCCCUGCACUUCGGGAUAAGCCUGGGAAACUGGGUCUAAUACCGGAUAGGACCACUGCCUGCAUGGGUGGUGGUGGAAAGCUUUUGCGGUGUGGGAUGGGCCCGCGGCCUAUCGGCUUGUUGGUGGGGUGAUGGCCUACCAAGGCGACGACGGGUAGCCGGCCUGGGAGGGUGACCGGCCACACUGGGACUGAGAUACGGCCCAGACUCCUACGGGAGGCAGCAGGGGGGAAUAUUGCACAAUGGGCGCAAGCCUGAUGCAGCGACGCCGCGUGGGGGAUGACGGCCUUCGGGUUGUAAACCUCUUUCAGCACCGACGAAGCGCAAGUGACGGUAGGUGCAGAAGAAGGACCGGCCAACCACGUGCCAGCCGCCGCCGUAA